AUAAAUAUUUUAUAGCAGUGUUUACGUACAGUUCUUUUCAGAUUAACCAUAAAUACUAAUCUCGAUACCAUUUAAAUGUGUUCAAGUUUUAGUUUUUUGAAUUUUGAUAACACAAAUAUGAUAAUUAAUGCUAAGAUAAUUACACAGAAAAUUAUUUUCAUAUUAUUAUUAGUUGUGGAGUGAAACAUUUGUAUUUGGGUAAUUAUUAUUAUAAUUUUUCUUCUUUUAAUCUCAUUUUAGGCUUGUGGGUUAUGCAGGGUUGUGCAACUAUUUUAUAAUGCUUUAACAGAACCAAAAUUUAUAGCUAAGUUUAGAUUUUUUAAAUUAAUAAGAAGUAAUAUGUCGAAUAUUUUACAAACGAAUAUCAAGUCGGUUAGAACCUAAUGCUCAUGCAAAUAAAGCUGCCAUGGCAACCCUUUGAAUCUGAUAGUUAUUCACUCUGAGCAAUAUAGUAUAACAUUUUAAAUCAAAUUAACUGCGGAAAUGAAUUUCAAUAAACUGGUUGCUUUGCUUAUAUUUUGACAAACAAUGUAGGUAUAUUAUUAAUUUGAAACCAGAAUGUUAAUUUUUCAAGUGUCUUCACCAAGCAUCUGCUAUGCAUUAAGUGUUUAAAAAAAUCAAAUUGUAAAGUAAGUAAAAUAAAAUGUAUUUUAAAAUUUUCAUUCAUAGAAAGCAUAGAGUCUUCAACAAAAACUCAAGUAAAGAUCAUAUUGCAAAUAUUGAAAAGGCCUCUCCAUUGGUAAAUAAAUGUCAAACAAUAUGUAUAGAGAAUGCAAGCAAUUGUUAAGCAGUUCUUUUUAUAUAUUUAUAGUAUAUACCUGUAAUCUUCUUGUAUAUUCACAUUUUUAGUAUUAAUUUGUAUAUUUAUUUAGUUAUGUUUUAGUUAACAUAAUCUAUUUAACUUAAUAAUUUAAUGUUAAACUAAUGAACUGAAAAAAAAAGUACAAUUGACAUUAUUUUGCAAACUAAAGUUUAACGUUUACAUUUUGUUGUUAAAAAACCUGUUAUACCUAAUUUUUAUUUUCAGGUUUUAUUUUAAGCUAUUUUUUAUUUUAGUCUAAAUAACCAUAGCUAAUAAACGCCAGCAAAUGCUCUUACUGUUUUUCCAAAAAUUGUUUUUAGCUUAUUUUCUAGCACAAUUAUGACUAUUAAUUAUUACUAUUUAAUAAGACUUUAACUUUAAGAUUUUAAUUAUAAUACAAACAUUCAACUGUAUGAUUUUAAUUAUGACAAUUAUAUACAAACAUUCAACUAUAUGAGAUUAAUGAGCUAGCAAGUAAAAAAACUUACAUACAACAAAUGUAGUUUGAUGAGAGGAUAAGAAUAUUAACUCUUUAAAGUUUAGGAAAUAUAAGAAUAUUACCUUUUCUAAAUAAGUUUUAUCCUGUUUUUUUAUUGAUAAAAAUUAAUUUUUCUUCUUCUUCUUAUUUUUCAUUGUAUUUAGUUUUUAUUAUUAUCUUGUUAUUGUUAAAACUACUAAAAUUUAUGUUUAUUUCAGAAUAAUAAAAAUGAAUAAACAAGAGAAAAAUCAAUACUUGAGGGAAUGGCGCCAAAGUAAUUGAGUCUUAAACAAUAUACUUGUAAAUAAAGAAAUUGACUCACAUCACAUGUCGACUCUAUUAAUAAUAUUAAUAGAGUCAAGAGUUGAAUUGAUUUCAAAAACAUUGAAAUUAAGAACUAUAGUGACUUUUAUUUUGUCUCUGAUCAUAAAUAUACUUCUGGAACUGAGAGUUCUAUUCUAGACUCUGAGGUUCCUGUGAGUGAUGAUAAUGAAGAUCUUCAUGACGUACUUGUUACAUAACGUACGAGUACUUGUUACAGAGAUUGCCAAAUGGAUUUUAAAACACAGAAUAGCUAGAAAUGCAAGUGACGAAUUGUUAACCAUUUACACCAGUAUAGUUAUAAUGUUGAUUUACCAAAAUGUACAAGGAAAAUUUUAAAUACUCCUAGGAAUAUUCCAAGCAAGUUAAAAUGUGGGGGUAAAUAUGUUUACCUUGGUAUUUCAAAUGACAAAUCAAGAACUUUAGCAAUCAACCAGCAUUACAGAUUUGAGUCAAAUAUGAUUUCUUUAGUUGUCAAUGUAGAUAGCAUUCCCUUAUUAAAGUCAUCAAACACACAGGUUCGGCCUAUAUUAUGUAUGUUUGACAAAGUGACACCAUUUACUGUAGCAUUAUUUGUUAGUGAUAUCAUGCCAAAUAAUUGUGACGAUUUUUAAUAUGAUUUUUUGCAUGAGUAUGAGUUAUUAUUUGCAAAUGGUUUUAGUAUUAUAUAUAUAACUUCAAUUAAUUCUUGAGAAAAGGUGUUGCUAAUGUGCCAAUAAAAAGUCAGAAAGUGUAAGCAUAACCAUUUUUAAAAAAAUAGAGUCCCUUAAAGAAUUUUAUGAGCUUGAAACCAGAUUAAAAGACAACGGGGAGAACAGUAAGUUGGUAAUUUAUGUUUAUAAUUUCUAUUUUUAAAGUUUGUCUGUUAAUAGAAUGCUAUUUAAGUUCAUCGUUUUCUUGAUGAGCCUAUUUAAAUCAUUCUUACAUUUUACCACAAUAUGGUGUAAAAAGUAAAUUCCUACUUAUAAAUCGAGAAUUAACUUAGUGACCUGAUAACCAUUUACAUUCUGUAGAGUUUUUUACAGUCUUGUAUUUUUGUUAAACUAUUUUAUCUUAUAUUUGGUUGAGCAAUUAUUAUUUCGUUGCUUUGAUAGAAUAACUGUGAAAAACAACCAAAUAAAUCUAAUCCUGUGUUAUUCCAACAUGAAAUUUUCUCUAAACUUUUAUUUAUGUUUUAGCUUUGUCACCUCAUAAAAGCAGGUGGAAAAAUGUUAAAGAAAAUACAAAAAGUGUCAUGGUCAGAAUUAUGGAGCAUCAUGUUAAGCCCAAGUUCAAUAUGAAAAGCAAAAUUCGUCGUGAUAUAAAGAAGGUAUCAUUCGAAAAUAAAAAGUUGUGUAAAGCAAUAAUUUUGAAGUCAUCCAGCUAACGCACGAGAGUUCGACGGAAGCAAACAAAAGAUCAAAUAGGAAGCAUUUUAAAGUUCUCUCCAUUAAACAAUUAUUUAUUUUUGAGUUUUUUUGUAAAUUUAUAAUACAAAAGAAUAUAUAAUACAUCUUUAAAAAAAUCUUU